GAUGAACGCUAGCUACAGGCUUAACACAUGCAAGUCGAGGGGAAACGGCAUUAAGUGCUUGCACUUUUUGGACGUCGACCGGCGCACGGGUGAGUAAUGCGUAUCCAACCUUCCCAUGACUAAGGGAUAACCUGCCGAAAGGCAGACUAAUACCUUAUGGUCUUCACUGACGGCAUCAGAUGUGAAGUAAAGAUUUAUCGGUUAUGGAUGGGGAUGCGUCUGAUUAGCUUGUUGGCGGGGUAACGGCCCACCAAGGCAACGAUCAGUAGGGGUUCUGAGAGGAAGGUCCCCCACAUUGGAAUUGAGACACGGUCCAAACUCCUACGGGAGGCAGCAGUGAGGAAUAUUGGUCAAUGGGCGAGAGCCUGAACCAGCCAAGUAGCGUGCAGGAUGACGGCCCUAUGGGUUGUAAACUGCUUUUGUAUGGGGAUAAAGUCAGUCACGUGUGAUUGUUUGCAGGUACCAUACGAAUAAGGACCGGCUAAUUCCGUGCCAGCAGCCGCGGUAAUACGGAAGGUCCGGGCGUUAUCCGGAUUUAUUGGGUUUAAAGGGAGCGUAGGCUGGAGAUUAAGUGUGUUGUGAAAUGUAGACGCUCAACGUCUGACUUGCAGCGCAUACUGGUUUCCUUGAGUACGCACAACGUUGGCGGAAUUCGUCGUGUAGCGGUGAAAUGCUUAGAUAUGACGAAGAACUCCGAUUGCGAAGGCAGCUGACGGGAGCGCAACUGACGCUGAAGCUCGAAGGUGCGGGUAUCGAACAGG
rnacentral:rRNA from 1 species